UGGGUGACUGGCAACUGAAGCUCA
rnacentral:misc_RNA from 1 species